rnacentral:rRNA from 1 species
UUUACGGAGAGUUUGAUUCUGGCUCAGAACGAACGCUGGCGGCGUGGAUAAGACAUGCAAGUCGAACGGGACAACAUUUGUAGCAAUACAGAUUUUGUUUAGUGGCGAACGGGUGCGUAACACGUGGGCAAUCCGCCGAGAAGUGGGGGAUAGCUCGCCGAAAGGCGAAUUAAUACCGCAUAUGAUCAGGGACGACAUCUUCCCAACAUCAAAGCCGGGGCAACCUGGCGCUUCUUGAGGAGCCCGCGGCCUAUCAGCUAGUUGGCGAGGUAACGGCUCACCAAGGCUAUGACGGGUAGCUGGUCUGAGAGGACGACCAGUCACACUGGAACUGAGACACGGUCCAGACACCUACGGGUGGCAGCAGUCGAGAAUUUUUCUCAAUGGGGGCAACCCUGAAGGAGCGACGCCGCGUGGAGGAUGAAGGCUUUCGGGUUGUAAACUCCUGUCAUUUGAGAACAAGGUGCACAUGUUAACUGUAUGUGCAUUGAUAGU